GUUCAUAUGCAAUUUUUCUGCUAAUAUAUAUUGGCACCAAAUACAUAAAUUCAAACAUUUACUUCCAAAAUUUUCUUGAUUGGGAUGUAUAGUUAUUAGCAAUCUUCCACUGUCACAGGUGAGGGCACUGUAAGAACAGGCUGGCAAACAUCUGAAUGAAUGGCUCCUCCUGUACCAUGUCUGACUCAGGACCCAGAAGGAGUAGUUAUUAUCACAAUGCACUUACUAGUAAUGCUUCUUUUAACGCUUGAGAAGUAUCCGAGGACUUCCACUUCUGAGGAGGACGUAGAAGAUCAUGACAGGCCAAUGAUCUCUUUUCCACAACUAGAAAAAAAUGAAGAAACUGAAAAAAACUUAUUUUUAAGGGAUAAUAGGGCAUUGAAAGCAAUGAAGAUAAAAGGAAAUUGUAGAGAGUGGAGCACCGUUCCAGAUUGAGGUGACGAUAACUAGCCAUUGCUUUCUCUGUGGCAAUUUGGGAAUUUUGAGAGUACAAUGAAGUUUGUGCUUAGACUGGGCAGGGAGCUCUGCUGGAGGAAAGAAAAGUCAAGAAAGCUUUUAGGUAUCAAGUAGGACUGGAACAACUAUUUGAGGGAAAUUUGAGGGGCCUUAGAUACACAACAAGUUUUAACAACAGAAUGUUUUAUGAAUUUGGAGGUUGCACAGGGAAUUGAGGAAUCAAGCCAAAAGGCGGAGUGAAAUCUUUUGCCUUAGCUACUGGGGAACAUGACCUAUUGGGAAAGUGUGUGGCCUCAAGUACAUUGCUGGACUCUUCCUCACGACAUCUGCCAGAUUUUGAAACUUUGUAGGGAGUAUGAAUUUUGGAAACUCUGAGAGGCAGAACUCCAUCAUCUGCAUUUUUUAGGACAAAGGAAAUAAAUACCCAUGAAUGUCUCA
rnacentral:lncRNA from 1 species